rnacentral:rRNA from 1 species
AUACGAAGGGGGCUAGCGUUGUUCGGAAUCACUGGGCGUAAAGCGCGCGUAGGUGGAUCAAUUAGUUGAGGGUGAAAUCCCGGGGCUCAACCUCGGAACUUCCUUCAAUACUGUUGAUCUUGAGACCGAGAGAGGUGAGUGGAAUUCCUAGUGUAGAGGUGAAAUUCGUAGAUAUUAGGAAGAACACCAGUGGCGAAGGCGGCUCACUGGCUCGGUACUGACGCUGAGGUGCGAAAGCGUGGGGAGCAAACAGGAUUAGAAACCCCAGUAGUCC